rfam:Solanum lycopersicum cultivar Heinz 1706 chromosome 1, whole genome shotgun sequence.
UGGAUGUGAUGAGUGGUCAUAACUCGCAAUAAAAAUGCGAGAAGAGCGUUCCAGCCCAGCCUGGUUACGACAAUUUGGGCGCUCUUAAUUUUACCAAUCUGAUCCU